UGACUGCAUCCCCAGGACUUUUAUCUCCCUGGAAAGCCAAACUGGCUGGGUACUUCCAUUUUGUUCAGUUGCCCGGCUGUGGUUCUGUUGAUUCUCCUGUUUGUGUUGUCUCCAAACUCUGCUCUGGAGCUUAAUUCUGUUUUUCUUCCAUGUCUACAAGCCACCUUGUUUCCUAUUUUUUCUGCAUAUUCCAGCACUACUCCUCUUGCUUUGGCCUGUGUUCUUUUUCCUCUCCCAGCUUCCUAAUGCCUUUUUUAUAUGUUCUUGUAAUCCAGGAAUGGGACCUUAAAUGCUCUGAUAGACCAGCUUUAAUAUCUAAUGUAAACUGCUGCAGAAAAAUUUAUUUUGGUCCAUGAAUGCCUUAAAUAAUGCUUCAUGUAGUACAAGUCAUUGAUAAGUCAUGUGCUGAGCAAGCAGAUAAAUAAUGAUUUAUCUCCAGCCAGACUUUAGAGCCAAGAUCAUUGGUAGAGCAACUAGGAGUGCAAUGCGUAGCUAAGUUCUGCUAGCUCUAAAAAAAUUGCAUGUUUGUUCUUCAGUUGAAAUUUAUUUUCUUUUGCUGAUCCUCUAACUUUUGCCUUUUAGACAAAAUCUGGGGGUCUCACUUGUUCCUGUUUGAGUUUAUCCCGUGCAGCACAGGUCUGAAAACCAGGUAGCUUAGGAAGAGAACGUUGCUAACAAAGUACCGCUCAGACUUCUUGGGCAAGACUUGUUUGCAGCCAGUACAGAACAACUUCACCAUGUCUAAUUCAGACAGGAAGCUUUUGAGAACAGCCUGAACACACAGAUAAGAGCUCUCAGCACAAGUUCAGCAAAGGUCUUUAAAAUCUCUUUCACCCGACAGUUUGUAUUUUUCCCCAGGCCCUGAUGUGAAAGAAUUAGCAGCAGGCCUCCUUGUUACCUAAUGUUCACAAAAAUGUGCUUGUGGUUAUCCACGGGGGAAAUGGAAGCCAACUCUAAAAGAGAGAAAAAAGAAUUCUCUCGGAUAAAACACCCUCAUCUUAAA